AAAAAUCUUUGAUAAACCAAAAAGGCAUUAAGCAAAGAAGAACUAUCAUUAAUUUACAUGGGAAAAAUUUUUGAGUGUUCGCAGAUCCAAAAAAGUAAUCUACCAAAUCAUACCAAAUAAUACAUAAAACCUAAAACAAAAUUAACUUAUAGUAAAAGCAGUUAUGAUAUGAUAAAUAUACACCCUAUGUAAAGCAGAAAUAAUGUAUGUACACUGUAGUCUCACUUAAAACACCAUUAUGUUUUCAGUUAAGUCACCAUAUCGCACAUGGCAUAUACUGUAUCUGGCAGCAACAACUUUUAGAGAUAAUCACAGACUGGCCAGUACCUUUGAUGGGUCAACUGGAAAGUUGAAGGAUGGACUUCAACAGUCCAGAACUGGACUCCUCCUGAAAAAAACUGGAGAUGUGGGAUACAAAAUUGAUAUCAGUCCUCCAAGAUAGUAAGCUAUUGCAUUAUCAUGUGUUCAUCUGGCAAUUUAUUUUUUUUGUAAAAGUAGAAAUCCUCUUUGGAUUUAUUUUAGUUAGCAAAAACAGAUACAAACCUAAAUCUUUUAUAAAAAUGAAAUGGUGUAAAGUGAACCUUUAUAAAGUAGGGGAAAUCUGUAUAGGAAUUAUGUUAUAAAAAACAUAGACAGUUUUGGAUUGAGAGUUGACAGCAUACAUCUAAUUUAUGAAAAAUUAAAUAUUUUCU
rnacentral:lncRNA from 1 species